GCAGUCUUGAUUCAGAAAGAAAAAACAAAAUGCAAAGACUCUUGGGCAGAUAGAAGAAAAAAAAUGAAAAACUUAGUAGCCACCCUUGAGAUCGUUGACAACAUCGUAAGGGAUGGGAGUGACAGUCUCCAAUGUCAUACCCUCGACCAUGAAACCAGGCUUGGGACCUUUAGACUGUCUCUUGGUGCUGAUUGUCUCCCCUCUGGCUUUGGCUGCAGCCUUGAGCACAUCGUUAUUCUUCUUCCUU
rnacentral:lncRNA from 1 species